rnacentral:rRNA from 1 species
AGAGUUUGAUCCUGGCUCAGGACGAACGCUGGCGGCGCGCCUAACACAUGCAAGUCGAACGAGCGAGAGAGAGCUUGCUUUCUCGAGCGAGUGGCGAACGGGUGAGUAACGCGUGAGGAACCUGCCUCAAAGAGGGGGACAACAGUUGGAAACGACUGCUAAUACCGCAUAAGCCCACGGGUCGGCAUCGACCAGAGGGAAAAGGAGCAAUCCGCUUUGAGAUGGCCUCGCGUCCGAUUAGCUAGUUGGUGAGGUAAUGGCCCACCAAGGCGACGAUCGGUAGCCGGACUGAGAGGUUGAACGGCCACAUUGGGACUGAGACACGGCCCAGACUCCUACGGGAGGCAGCAGUGGGGAAUAUUGCACAAUGGGGGAAACCCUGAUGCAGCGACGCCGCGUGGAGGAAGAAGGUCUUCGGAUUGUAAACUCCUGUUGUUGAGGAAGAUAAUGACGGUACUCAACAAGGAAGUGACGGCUAACUACGUGCCAGCAGCCGCGGUAAAACGUAGGUCACAAGCGUUGUCCGGAAUUACUGGGUGUAAAGGGAGCGCAGGCGGGAAGACAAGUUGGAAGUGAAAUCCAUGGGCUCAACCCAUGAACUGCUUUCAAAACUGUUUUUCUUGAGUAGUGCAGAGGUAGGCGGAAUUCCCGGUGUAGCGGUGGAAUGCGUAGAUAUCGGGAGGAACACCAGUGGCGAAGGCGGCCUACUGGGCACCAACUGACGCUGAGGCUCGAAAGUGUGGGUAGCAAACAGGAUUAGAUACCCUGGUAGUCCACACCGUAAACGAUGAUUACUAGGUGUUGGAGGAUUGACCCCUUCAGUGCCGCAGUUAACACAAUAAGUAAUCCACCUGGGGAGUACGACCGCAAGGUUGAAACUCAAAGGAAU